CAGGCUUAACACAUGCAAGUCGAGGGGCAGCAUUUCAGUUUGCUUGCAAACUGGAGAUGGCGACCGGCGCACGGGUGAGUAACACGUAUCCAACCUGCCGAUAACUCGGGGAUAGCCUUUCGAAAGAAAGAUUAAUACCCGAUGGUAUAAUCAGACCGCAUGGUCUUGUUAUUAAAGAAUUUCGGUUAUCGAUGGGGAUGCGUUCCAUUAGGCAGUUGGUGAGGUAACGGCUCACCAAACCUUCGAUGGAUAGGGGUUCUGAGAGGAAGGUCCCCCACAUUGGAACUGAGACACGGUCCAAACUCCUACGGGAGGCAGCAGUGAGGAAUAUUGGUCAAUGGGCGCAGGCCUGAACCAGCCAAGUAGCGUGAAGGAUGACUGCCCUAUGGGUUGUAAACUUCUUUUAUAUGGGAAUAAAGUUUUCCACGUGUGGAAUUUUGUAUGUACCAUAUGAAUAAGGAUCGGCUAACUCCGUGCCAGCAGCCGCGGUAAUACGGAGGAUCCGAGCGUUAUCCGGAUUUAUUGGGUUUAAAGGGAGCGUAGGUGGACAGUUAAGUCAGUUGUGAAAGUUUGCGGCUCAACCGUAAAAUUGCAGUUGAUACUGGCUGUCUUGAGUACAGUAGAGGUGGGCGGAAUUCGUGGUGUAGCGGUGAAAUGCUUAGAUAUCACGAAGAACUCCGAUUGCGAAGGCAGCUCGCUGGACUGCAACUGACACUGAUGCUCGAAAGUGUGGGUAUCAAACAGGAUUAGAUACCCUGGUAGUCCACACAGUAAACGAUGAAUACUCGCUGUUUGCGAUAUACAGUAAGCGGCCAAGCGAAAGCAUUAAGUAUUCCACCUGGGGAGUACGCCGGCAACGGUGAAACUCAAAGGAAUUGACGGGGGCCCGCACAAGCGGAGGAACAUGUGGUUUAAUUCGAUGAUACGCGAGGAACCUUACCCGGGCUUAAAUUGCAUUUGAAUAUAUUGGAAACAGUAUAGCCGUAAGGCAAAUGUGAAGGUGCUGCAUGGUUGUCGUCAGCUCGUGCCGUGAGGUGUCGGCUUAAGUGCCAUAACGAGCGCAACCCUUAUCUUUAGUUACUAACAGGUCAUGCUGAGGACUCUAGAGAGACUGCCGUCGUAAGAUGUGAGGAAGGUGGGGAUGACGUCAAAUCAGCACGGCCCUUACGUCCGGGGCUACACACGUGUUACAAUGGGGGGUACAGAAGGCAGCUACCUGGUGACAGGAUGCUAAUCCCAAAAGCCUCUCUCAGUUCGGAUCGAAGUCUGCAACCCGACUUCGUGAAGCUGGAUUCGCUAGUAAUCGCGCAUCAGCCAUGGCGCGGUGAAUACGUUCCCGGGCCUUGUACACACCGCCCGUCAAGCCAUGAAAGCCGGGGGUACCUGAAGUACGUAACAGCAAGGAGCGUCCUAGGGUAAAACUGGUAAUUG
rnacentral:rRNA from 1 species